CUAAUAACAUGCAAGUCGAGCGGACAGAUGGGAGCUUGCUCCCUGAUGUUAGCGGCGGACGGGUGAGUAACACGUGGGUAACCUGCCUGUAAGACUGGGAUAACUCCGGGAAACCGGGGCUAAUACCGGAUGCUUGUUUGAACCGCAUGGUUCAAACAUAAAAGGUGGCUUCGGCUACCACUUACAGAUGGACCCGCGGCGCAUUAGCUAGUUGGUGAGGUAAUGGCUCACCAAGGCGACGAUGCGUAGCCGACCUGAGAGGGUGAUCGGCCACACUGGGACUGAGACACGGCCCAGACUCCUACGGGAGGCAGCAGUAGGGAAUCUUCCGCAAUGGACGAAAGUCUGACGGAGCAACGCCGCGUGAGUGAUGAAGGUUUUCGGAUCGUAAAGCUCUGUUGUUAGGGAAGAACAAGUACCGUUCGAAUAGGGCGGUACCUUGACGGUACCUAACCAGAAAGCCACGGCUAACUACGUGCCAGCAGCCGCGGUAAUACGUAGGUGGCAAGCGUUGUCCGGAAUUAUUGGGCGUAAAGGGCUCGCAGGCGGUUUCUUAAGUCUGAUGUGAAAGCCCCCGGCUCAACCGGGGAGGGUCAUUGGAAACUGGGGAACUUGAGUGCAGAAGAGGAGAGUGGAAUUCCACGUGUAGCGGUGAAAUGCGUAGAGAUGUGGAGGAACACCAGUGGCGAAUGCGACUCUCUGGUCUGUAACUGACGCUGAGGAGCGAAAGCGUGAGGAGCGAACAGGAUUAGAUACCCUGGUGGUCCACGCCGUAGACGAUGAGUGCUAAGUGUUA
rnacentral:rRNA from 1 species